CGCUAGGCCGCCCUGACCCUCACCCCACAUCUAAUCCUCUUGGGAUGAUUUUGGCCAAAGCCCUUCCUGUCUCUUGAACCCGAAAAGCCGCCUGAUAGCCCAGCCAUAGGCACUUCCUGGACUGCCGAGCGUCUGGGACAUGCAGAGCCACAGUCACCGCCGCAGCUGCAGAGGUCUGACAGAUUUAUGCUCUGCUUCUACACCAGUGGGUUUGGAGAUUUACACUGGGUGGGGCAGGGCACCGGUGAAAGGGAGAUGCAAAUGCCUCGUCUUAAAGCACUUACCCAGGGAACAGCCAGCAGGCCCUGCGGUGAACAAUCAGGAUGGCUGGGGGGAUUACCUGCUCAGCUGUCGUCCCUAAGCAGAGAAGUGUCAGAGGGGACCGGAGAGCCCAGGAAGCACGCACGUGAGGGCACGGCAAGAAGCGGCUACGUGCAAGCCAGAAAGAGAACUCACCGGAAACUGAACUCACCGACCCCCCUCACCUUGGACUCCCAAGCCUCCAGAACUGUGAGAAAUAAAUGUGUGUUGCUUACGCCCCCA